rnacentral:rRNA from 1 species
GAAACGACUGCUAAGACUGGAUAGGAAAUAAAAAGGCAUCUUUUUAUUUUUAAAAGACCUUCUUCGGAGGGUAUGCUUAAAGAGGGGCUUGCGUCACAUUAGUUAGUUGGUAGGGUAAUGGCCUACCAAGACGAUGAUGUGUAGCUGGACUGAGAGGUUGAACAGCCACAUUGGGACUGAGACACGGCCCAAACUCCUACGGGAGGCAGCAGUAGGGAAUUUUCGGCAAUGGAGGAAACUCUGACCGAGCAACGCCGCGUGAACGACGAAGUACUUCGGUAUGUAAAGUUCUUUUAUUGAAGAAGAAACAAUAGUGGAAAAACUAUCUUGACGUUAUUCAAUGAAUAAGCCCCGGCUAACUAUGUGCCAGCAGCCGCGGUAAUACAUAGGGGGCGAGCGUUAUCCGGAAUUAUUGGGCGUAAAGGGUGCGUAGGCGGUUUAAUAAGUCUCUAGUUUAAUUUCAACGCUUAACGUUGUCCUGCUAGAGAAACUGUUUGACUAGAGUGAGAUAGAGGUAAGCGGAAUUCCAUGUGUAGCGGUAAAAUGUGUAAAUAUAUGGAGGAACACCAGAGGCGUAGGCGGCUUACUGGGUCUUUACUGACGCUGAUGCACGAAAGCGUGGGGAGCAAACAGGAUUAGAUACCCUGGUAGUCCACGCCGUAAACUAUGAGUACUAAGUGUCGGGGUUAAACUCGGUACUGAAGUUAACACAUUAAGUACUCCGCCUGAGUAGUACGUACGCAAGUAUGAAACUUAAAGGAAUUGACGGGAUCCCGCACAAGCGGUGGAUCAUGUUGUUUAAUUCGAAGAUACACGAAAAACCUUACCAGGUCUUGACAUACUCUGCAAAACUAUAGAAAUAUAGUGGAGGUUAUCAGGGAUACAGGUGGUGCAUGGUUGUCGUCAGCUCGUGUCGUGAGAUGUUAGGUUAAGUUCUAAAACGAGCGCAACCCCUGUCGUUAAUUGCCAGCACGUUAUGGUGGGGACUUUAGCGAGACUGCCAAUGAAAAAUUGGAGGAAGGUGGGGAUUACGUCAAAUCAUCAUGCCCCUUAUGAUCUGGGCUACAAACGUGAUACAAUGGCUAUUACAAAGAGUAGCUUAAACGCGAGUUUUUGGCAAAUCUCAAAAAAAUAGUCCUAGUUCGGAUUGAAGUCUGCAACUCGACUUCAUGAAGUUGGAAUCGCUAGUAAUCGCGAAUCAGCAUGUCGCGGUGAAUACGUUCUCGGGGUUUGUACACACCGCCCGUCA